CCUACGGGCGGCUGCAGUGGGGAAUAUUGCACAAUGGGCGCAAGUCUGAUGCAGCCAUGCCGCGUGUGUGAAGAAGGCCUUCGGGUUGUAAAGCACUUUCAGCGGGGAGGAAGGCGUUAAGGUUAAUAACCUUGUCGAUUGACGUUACCCGCAGAAGAAGCACCGGCUAACUCCGUGCCAGCAGCCGCGGUAAUACGGAGGGUGCAAGCGUUAAUCGGAAUUACUGGGCGUAAAGCGCACGCAGGCGGUCUGUCAAGUCGGAUGUGAAAUCCCCGGGCUCAACCUGGGAACUGCAUUCGAAACUGGCAGGCUAGAGUCUUGUAGAGGGGGGUAGAAUUCCAGGUGUAGCGGUGAAAUGCGUAGAGAUCUGGAGGAAUACCGGUGGCGAAGGCGGCCCCCUGGACAAAGACUGACGCUCAGGUGCGAAAGCGUGGGGAGCAAACAGGAUUAGAUACCCUAGUAGUC
rnacentral:rRNA from 1 species